CAUGGUGCCGUAAAUUACCUUUGUAAUUAUAUAGUGGGCCACACGUGUGCUACAUUAGGUAGUGCAAAAGAUGAUUCGAUAUACGAAUUAUAAAACUACCUUUGUUCAGAUUAGACUCUGAAAUGGGGUCUAUGAAGUUGGAAUAGUGAGUAAUCGGGGAUCAUACACGCCCCGGUGAAGUUAUUAGAUUAUUUAAAUCAAACCGGUUAAGCGGGUCAGGGUUUUCCCUAGUUUCCCUUAACUAUACUUGUUUGGUUUCUUCUAUUACUACUCUUCGAUAGAGGAUAGUAAGUAAAAGACUAUGUUGCACACAUUGCCCGUCACUGCCCGAGAUUGCUUAUGGUUCUUAAGAAUGAGUAAACAUGUGUAUGCUGCUCAACCCAGGGAUUGUAACGAGAUCGGGUAAAAGUCGUAACAGGUUGGGGUUGAGGAAUCAGCUCCAGAGAUGAAUUAUAAAUAUAUAUAUAAAUUA
rnacentral:rRNA from 1 species